AUUGAACGCUGGCGGCAGGCCUAACACAUGCAAGUCGAACGAGUGGCGGACGGGUGAGUAAUGUCUGGGGAACUGCCUGAUGGAGGGGGAUAACUACUGGAAACGGUAGCUAAUACCGCAUACCAUCAGAUGUACCACGAAGGGAUUAGCUAGUAGGUAGGGUAACGUCUCACAAAGGCGACGAUCCCUAGCUGGUCUGAGAGGAUGAUCAGCCACACUGGGACUGAGAAACGGCCCAGACUCCUACGGGAGGCAGCAGUGGGGAAUAUUGCACAAUGGGCGCAAGCCUGAUGCAGCCAUGCCGCGUGUAUGAAGAAGGCCUUCGGGUUGUAAAGUACUUUCAGUCGGGAGGCGUUACCGGCAGAAGAAGCACCGGCUAACUCCGUGCCAGCAGCCGCGGUAAUUC
rnacentral:rRNA from 1 species